rnacentral:rRNA from 1 species
AGCGAACGCUGGCGGCAGGCCUAACACAUGCAAGUCGAACGAAGUCUUCGGACUUAGUGGCGGACGGGUGAGUAACACGAGGGAACGUGCCUUUAGGUUCGGAAUAACUCAGGGAAACUUGUGCUAAUACCGAAUGUGCCCUUCGGGGGAAAGAUUUAUCGCCUUUAGAGCGGCCCGCGUCUGAUUAGCUAGUUGGUGAGGUAAAGGCUCACCAAGGCGACGAUCAGUAGCUGGUCUGAGAGGACGAUCAGCCACAUUGGGACUGAGACACGGCCCAGACUCCGACGGGAGGCAGCAGUGGGGAAUCUUGCGCAAUGGGCGAAAGCCUGACGCAGCCAUGCCGCGUGGAUGAUGAAGGUCUUAGGAUUGUAAAAUUCUUUCACCGGGGACGAUAAUGACGGUACCCGGAGAAGAAGCCCCGGCUAACUUCGUGCCAGCCGCCGCCGUAACAC